GAUGACGGCCUUCGGGUUGUAAACCUCUUUCAGCAGGGACGAAGCGAGAGUGACGGUACCUGCAGAAGAAGGACCGGCCAACUACGUGCCAGCAGCCGCGGUAAUACGUAGGGUCCGAGCGUUGUCCGGAAUUAUUGGGCGUAAAGGGCUCGUAGGCGGUUCGUCACGUCGGGAGUGAAAACUCGGGGCUUAACCCCGAGCCUGCUUCCGAUACGGGCAGACUAGAGGUAGGCAGGGGAGAGCGGAACUCCUGGUGUAGCGGUGGAAUGCGCAGAUAUCAGGAAGAACACCGGUGGCGAAGGCGGCUCUCUGGGCCUUACCUGACGCUGAGGAGCGAAAGCGUGGGUAGCGAACAGGAUUAGAUACCCUGGUAGUCC
rnacentral:rRNA from 1 species